UCUUCGGGGAUGAUUAAACCGGCGCACGGAUGAGUAACACGUGAGUGACCUGCCUUUUAGACUGGAACAACUUACCGAAAGGUGAGCUAAUGCCGGAUGAGUUAUAUAAGUGCAUGUUUAUAUAGGAAAAGUUGGGGAGACCUGACGCUGAAAGAUGGACUCGCGUCCCAUUAGCUAGUUGGUAGGGUAAUGGCCUACCAAGGCGACGAUGGGUAGCCGGCCUGAGAGGGUGGCCGGCCACACUGGGACUGAGACACGGCCCAGACUCCUACGGGAGGCAGCAGUGGGGAAUUUUGCGCAAUGCUCGUAAGAGUGACGCAGCGACGCCGCGUGAAUGACGAAGGCCUUCGGGUCGUAAAGUUCUUUCGACAGGGAAGAAAAUGCCUAUAAGUAACUGUGUAUGUAUUGACGGUACCUGUAUAAGCAGCCCCGGCUAACUCCGUGCCAGCAGCCGCGGUAAUACGGAGGGGGCGAGCGUUGUUCGGAGUGACUGGGCGUAAAGAGCACGUAGGCGGUGUUGUAAGUCAUUAGUCAAAGACUAGAGCUCAACUUUAGUAAGGCUAGUGAUACUAUAAUACUAGAGUAUCAGAGAGGAUUGCAGAAUUCCUGGUGUAGCGGUGAAAUGCGUAGAUAUCAGGAGGAAUACCGUUAGCGAAGGCGGCAAUCUGGCUGGAAACUGACGCUGAGGUGCGAAAGCGUGUGUAGCAAACAGGAUUAGAUACCCUGGUAGUCCACGCUGUAAACGAUGGAUGCUAGGUGUUGGGCUUUUAAGUUCAGUGCCGCAGCAAACGCGAUAAGCAUCCCGCCUGGGG
rnacentral:rRNA from 1 species